rnacentral:lncRNA from 11 species
GAGCAAAGAGAAAACAGUUGCUGUUAACCCAGACUGGAGAAUUCAGCAGGCACUGGGUCAUCUGUAUCAUCAGACGGGAACACAAAACCAAGUUGUUUGUUUGAGCACGGCAAUAUGUUCAAUGUCAGAAAGAGCAUGAGCGGCCGGAACUACAGCCCUGGGGUGCUGAUCGGAAACUGGAACGAGGAUGUCUACCUUGAAGAGGAACUACUGAAAGACUUCUUACAUAAAAGAGAAAGGGGGGAACUUCUCAUCCAGAAAUCACAAAGACUUAAAGAAAAUCUUUACAAGAAGGUAUCAUCGUUACUACAGCUUUCCAUAUUUAUAGUCUGCCUGACUUCUAAGACAGAGCUUUGUAUGAUGUACAUAGUGUUCCCAAUGGAUCUCAAAUAUGUCCCUUGGAAAGACCUCC